GGGUCAGUAGGUUGGUCGUGCCACCGGUACGUACUGGUCUCACUGAUUCCUCCUUCCUGAAGAACCGUAAUGCCAUUAAUUUGGUGUUGCGGGGAAACAGGACUGUUACUUUGAAGAAAUUAGAGUGUUUAAAGCAAGCUAACGCUUGAAUACAUUAGCAUGGAAUAAUGAAAUAGGACGAUCAAUCCUAUUUUGUUGGUUUCUAGGAUUGACGUA
rnacentral:rRNA from 1 species